UGGUGGGUAGUUUGACUGGGGCGGUCUCCUCCCAAAGAGUAACGGAGGAGCACGAAGGUUAGCUAAUCCUGGUCGGACAUCAGGAGGUUAGUGCAAUGGCAUAAGCUAGCUUGACUGCGAGAGUGACGGCUCGAGCAGGUGCGAAAGCAGGUCAUAGUGAUCCGGUGGUUCUGAAUGGAAGGGCCAUCGCUCAACGGAUAAAAGGUACUCCGGGGAUAACAGGCUGAUACCGCCCAAGAGUUCAUAUCGACGGCGGUGUUUGGCACCUCGAUGUCGGCUCAUCACAUCCUGGGGCUGAAGUAGGUCCCAAGGGUAUGGCUGUUCGCCAUUUAAAGUGGUACGCGAGCUGGGUUUAGAACGUCGUGAGACAGUUCGGUCCCUAUCUGCCGUGGGCGCUGGAGAAUUGAGGGGGGCUGCUCCUAGUACGAGAGGACCGGAGUGGACGCAUCACUGGUGUU
rnacentral:rRNA from 1 species